rnacentral:lncRNA from 1 species
CUCGACCUGCCAGGCUCAAGCAAUCCUCCCGCCUCAGCCUCCGGAAUAGCUGAGAUGAUGGCUCCUAUAGCGGCUGGCUCAGACACGUGCGUUUCCAGUUUCAGCUACUAGAGGGCAGAAUUGUGGCAGCAGCAACUGUGAAAUGUUUCCAGAAAUGGAGACGCUGGAGGUUGAAUUAGGCAUCUCGCCAACUAAAAAGCAAGAAAAAAUACGGGCCAGAAAAGGUACGGGAAGCAAGGGCUGGGCACAGCUGGUAGGCGGAAUAAGGGUGUGGACAGACCUGGAGCUGAGGUGGCAGCAGGCUACUGAAGACUGCUGAGCUGCCGCAUGAAAGAAACUCAGCCCCCACUCCCACUUCCCCCACACCCUCCCCACCCCCGACCCUGAUUUUGCCUCUGACAAGGAUAUCCAAGGUGUGGCUACUGCAAAAUAGGAUCUGUAAGCCUGGACGUUUACACAUCUCUUAGAGCCGGGUGAAUCCACCCAGUGAAGAACAGUCUACGGAGGGAUCCUCCCAGGAAAGUUGGAGGGAGACCAGAAGCAAGUACAGACAGAAAAUGGGGGUGGCCUGUAGAAAUGGAGCUUUGAUCCCAGUUAAAAUGAAAUGCGCAAGAAAAAUGGAAUACUGGCCGGGCACGGUGGCUCACGCCUGUAAUCCCAGCACUCUGGGAGGCCGAAUGGAUCACCUAAGGUCAGGAAUUCGAGACCAGCCUGACCAACAUGGAGAAACCCCGUCUCUACUAAAAAUACAAAAUUAGCCGGGCAUGGUGGCGCAUGCCUGUAAUCCCAGCUACUCAGGAGGCUGAGGCAGGAGAAUCGCUUGAACUCGGGAGGCAGAGAUUGCAGUGAGCCGAGAUCACACCGUUGCACUCCAGCCUGGGCAACAAGAGCGAAUCUCUGUCUCAAAAAAAAAAGAAAAGAAAAGAAAAAUGGAAUACUUGGAGUCACGUAUGCUGUGGUGUGAAUGACUGAUUUAUUAAAUACAUGUUAAUAGAGCAUGUGCUUUGUGGAGAUGGGGUUUGAUGCUAGUGGGGCUAGACCAACAAUAAAUAAGCAAACAAAUACAUAAGUAAAAAAUCUCAGGCCAGGCGCGGUGGCUCACGCCUGUAAUCCCAGCACUUUGGGAGGCAGAGGCGGGCGGAUCACGAGGUCAGGAGAUCGAGACCAUCCUGGCCAACACAGUGAAACCCCGUCUCUACUAAAAAUACA